UCUUUAUGUCACAAAAAAUGACCUUAAUGAAUCAGGCCUCAGAGCCUGUUCAUCAUCAAGAAAAUUUUGCAUCCCAGAAGAAAUCAAUUCUUCAACUUUAUUGGUUAAUUUAGUUGAGAACUAGCUCUGUGUUUGUUAGGUCGCUUUCCCUUUGUUUUCUUCCUCUAACCAUUUUGAGAAGGCGGAUUCGAUUCCCAUACAUAUUCAUUCAUUCCCAAUCCAUUCCACAGAUUCAAAAUCUUCUCUUCCAAGUGGGGAAUCUCUCCUAAUUGUAUUGAGAAUUUUAGAUGGCGUCGCCUCUGAUCUUGAAUCCCGAAACGAAUAUCGAGAGAUUUCGAGAGUCCAAAAAGAAGAGGAAGAAAGAAACCUUCAAAUCCAAGCCAAAACCAGAAUUAGAACCAGACGAGAUGGAAGUCUCCAGCCGAACAACAGAAUUAUUCCUUCAAACUCAUCGAAGCUCUGUGUCAAGUUCGCCGAAAUCCUUCACCUUCACACUUAGGAACAGUGGCAUCAUCAUUUUCUGACGGAAAUUAGGUCUUCAGUCUUCAGUCUUCAAGAUGUCAGCAAUUUCAGAAAUAGGGGAAACCUCAAUCCGAUAUGAGCAAUCCAUAUUGGUUUCAGUUUUGAUGCAAUAUUUUAAAACGAUGCGAAGUUUUCAUGAGAUAUGGUGAUUGCAGCAUUGCAGUUUGUUAUUCUCCUACCAGAUCCAAUUGUUCCUCUUAUUGAAAGCGAAAUUUUGUUAUGUAUUAGGGGAUCCCAUUAGUGAACUGGUCUGUGCUGCUUCAUCAGAUUUAUAUUAUCGAUUGAUUUGGGAGGAAAUACAAAAUAUUUUUGAUAAUCAAUUUCUUGGUUUCAUCCAA